rnacentral:rRNA from 1 species
GUGGGGAAUUUUGCGCAAUGGGCGAAAGCCUGACGCAGCAACGCCGCGUGGAGGAUGAAGGCCUUUGGGUUGUAAACUCCUGUCGAGCGGGAAGAAUUGCUCGGGUGCUAAUACCAUUCGGGUUUGACUGUACCGCCAGAGGAAGCCCCGGCUAACUCCGUGCCAGCAGCCGCGGUAAUACGGAGGGGGCAAGCGUUAUUCGGAAUUAUUGGGCGUAAAGGGCGCGUAGGCGGCCUGGUGAGUCGAAGGUGAAAUCCCCGAGCUCAACUUGGGAACUGCCUUCGAUACUGCCUGGCUCGAGUCCGGGAGGGGAGAGUGGAAUUCCCAGUGUAGCGGUGAAAUGCGUAGAUAUUGGGAGGAACACCGGUGGCGAAGGCGGCUCUCUGGACCGGAACUGACGCUGAGGCGCGAAAGCGUGGGUAGCAAACAGGAUUAGAAACCCCAGUAGUCC